rnacentral:snRNA from 1 species
GGUGAAAGGAAGGUACUCACUAUUCACUAAAAUUGGAAAAACACAGAGAUUAGCAUGGUCCAUGUGCAAGGAUGGCAUGCAAAUUUGUGAAGCAGUCCAUAUUUUU